CCGAGUCUCUAGCGGCUGAUUGUCCAAACGCAAUUCUUGAGAAACCUCGAAUUCACCCCCAAGAAUUGUGUCUGGACAUCUGUUGCUGCAGACUC
ensembl:miRNA mir219-1 microRNA 219a-2